rnacentral:rRNA from 1 species
UUGACCUCAAAUCAGGUAGGACUACCCGCUGAACUUAAGCAUAUCAAUAAGCGGAGGAAAAGAAACUAACAAGGAUUCCCCUAGUAACUGCGAGUGAAGCGGGAUAAGCUCAAAUUUAAAAUCUGGCGGUCUUAGUGCCGUCCGAAUUGUAACCUAGAGAAGUGUUGCCCGYGCUGGACCAUGUAUAAGUCUCCUGGGAUGGAGUAUCAGAGAGGGUGAGAAUCCCGUCUUUGACAUGGAUUUCCAGUGCAUU